rnacentral:rRNA from 1 species
AUUCCAGCUCCAAUAGCGUAUAUUAAUGUUGUUGCAGUUAAAAAGCUCGUAGUUGGAUUUCUGGUGGGAGCGGCCGGUCCGCCGUAAGGUGUGUACUUGGUUGUCUCCUGUCAUCCUUGUGGGAACUGCUCUGGCAUUAAGUUGUCGGGGUUAGGGAACACAUCGUUUACUGUGAAAAAAUUAGAGUGUUUAAAGCAGGCUUAUGCCGUUGAAUACAUUAGCAUGGAAUAAUAAGAUAGGACUUUGGCGUCUAUUUUGUUGGUUUGCACACCAAGGUAAUGAUUAAUAGGGAUAGUUGGGGGUAUUCGUAUUUAAUUGUCAGAGGUGAAAUUCUUGGAUUUAUGAAAGACGAACUUCUGCGAAAGCAUUUACCAAAGAUGUUUUCAUUG